rnacentral:rRNA from 1 species
AGUGAACGCUGGCGGUAGGCCUAACACAUGCAAGUCGAACGGCAGCACAGUAAGAGCUUGCUCUUACGGGUGGCGAGUGGCGGACGGGUGAGGUAUACAUCGGAAUCUACUUUUUCGUGGGGGAUAACGUAGGGAAACUUACGCUAAUACCGCAUACGACCUACGGGUGAAAGCAGGGGAUAUUCGGACCUUGCGCGAUUGAAUGAGCCGAUGUCGGAUUAGCUAGUUGGCGGGGGAAAGGCCCACCAAGGCGACGAUCCGUAGCUGGUCUGAGAGGAUGAUCAGCCACACUGGAACUGAGACACGGUCCAGACUCCUACGGGAGGCAGCAGUGGGGAAUAUUGGACAAUGGGCGCAAGCCUGAUCCAGCCAUACCGCGUGGGUGAAGAAGGCCUUCGGGUUGUAAAGCCCUUUUGUUGGGAAAGAAAAGCAGCAGGUUAAUACCCCGCUGUUCUGACGGUACCCAAAGAAUAAGCACCGGCUAACUUCGUG